rnacentral:rRNA from 1 species
CAGUCGCCGCGGGAAUACGUAGGGUCCGAGCGUUGUCCGGAAUUAUUGGGCGUAAAGGGCUCGUAGGCGGUUUGUUGCGUCGGGAGUGAAAACCCAGGGCUUAACUCUGGGCUUGCUUUCGAUACGGGCAGACUUGAGGCAUUGAGGGGAGAACGGAAUUCCUGGUGUAGCGGUGAAAUGCGCAGAUAUCAGGAGGAACACCGGUGGCGAAGGCGGUUCUCUGGCAAUGUUCUGACGCUGAGGAGCGAAAGUGUGGGGAGCGAACAGGAUUAGAUACCCGUGUAGUCCCUGUCUCUUAUAC